CUUCCGUAGGGGGAACCUGCGGAAGGAUCAUUACCGAGUGUAGGGUUCCUAGCGAGCCCAACCUCCCACCCGUGUUUACUGUAACCUUAGUUGCUUCGGCGGGCCCGCCUUUAAGGCCGCCGGGGGGCAUCAGCCCCCGGGCCCGCGCCCGCCGGAGACACCACGAACUCUGUCUGAUCUAGUGAAGUCUGAGUUGAUUGUAUCGCAAUCAGUUAAAACUUUCAACAAUGGAUCUCUUGGUUCCGGCAUCGAUGAAGAACGCAGCGAAAUGCGAUAACUAGUGUGAAUUGCAGAAUUCCGUGAAUCAUCGAGUCUUUGAACGCACAUUGCGCCCCCUGGUAUUCCGGGGGGCAUGCCUGUCCGAGCGUCAUUGCUGCCCAUCAAGCACGGCUUGUGUGUUGGGUCGUCGUCCCCUCUUCGGGGGGGACGGGCCCCAAAGGCAGCGGCGGCACCGUGUCCGAUCCUCGAGCGUAUGGGGCUUUGUCACCCGCUCUGUAGGCCCGGCCGGCGCUUGCCGAACGCAAAACAACACAUUCUUCCAGGUGACCUCGGAUCAGG
rnacentral:rRNA from 1 species